CCUACGGGGGGCUGCAGUCGAGAAUCAUUCACAAUGGGGGAAACCCUGAUGGUGCGACGCCGCGUGGGGGAAUGAAGGUCUUCGGAUUGUAAACCCCUGUCAUGUGGGAGCAAAUUAAAAAGAUAGUACCACAAGAGGAAGAGACGGCUAACUCUGUGCCAGCAGCCGCGGUAAUACAGAGGUCUCAAGCGUGGUUCGGAAUCACUGGGCGUAAAGCGUGCGUAGGCUGUUUCGUAAGUCGUGUGUGAAAGGCUCGGGCUCACCCCGCGGACGGCACAUGAUACUGAGGGACUAGAGUAAUGGAGGGGGAACCGGAAUUCUCGGUGUAGCAGGGAAAUGCGUAGAUAUCGAGAGGAACACUCGUGGCGAAGGCGGGUUCCUGGACAUUAACUGACGCUGAGGCACGAAGGCCAGGGGAGCGAAAGGGAUUAGAUACCCGAGUAGUC
rnacentral:rRNA from 1 species